UUUAAGUCAAAGUUUUAGGACUUUUACAAAGGAAGAGAAUGCAAACUAACUAGGUACUGUUUUUAAAAAAAA